CCUACGGGGGGCAGCAGUGAGGAAUAUUGGUCAAUGGACGAGAGUCUGAACCAGCCAAGUAGCGUGAAGGAUGACUGCCCUUUGGGUUGUAAACUUCUUUUAUAAAGGAAUAAAACGAGGCACGUGUGCCUUUUUUGCAUGUACUUUAUGAAUAAGGAUCGGCUAACUCCGAGCCAGCAGCCGCGGUAAUACGGAGGAUCCGAGCGUUAUCCGGAUUUUUUGGGUUUAAAGGGAGCGUAGAUGGGUUGUUAAGUCGGUUGUGAAAGUUUGCGGCUCAACCGUAAAAUUGCAAUUGAUACUGGCAGUCUUGAGUACAGUUGAGGUAGGCGGAAUUCGUGGUGUAGCGGUGAAAUGCUUAGAUAUCACGAAGAACCCCGAUUGCGAAGGCAGCUUACUAAACUGUGACUGACAUUGAUGCUCGAAAGUGUGGGUAUCAAACAGGAUUAGAUACCCGAGUAGUC
rnacentral:rRNA from 1 species